rnacentral:rRNA from 1 species
CCUACGGGAGGCAGCAGUGAGGAAUAUUGGUCAAUGGACGAGAGUCUGAACCAGCCAAGUAGCGUGCAGGAAGACGGCCCUAUGGGUUGUAAACUGCUUUUGUAAGGGAAUAAAGUGAGUCUCGUGAGACUUUUUGCAUGUACCUUAUGAAUAAGGACCGGCUAAUUCCGUGCCAGCAGC